ACCACAAUCUCUCUCUACUCCACCCCAAUCUCCGGCGAUGCCUCCAAAGUCAGCCCGCCUUCUCCACUAACAAGCUCGGCGAGCAGCUGCCGCCUUACAAGCUCAACUGGAUGAUACACAUGAUGCGUCGUCUCCUCCGCUCUCCAACGCAUACUUGCCCUCUCCUCCGCAACACCACCACUGCUCAAUCUCUACCGCCUCACCCACUCAUCAACACAUCAAUCACUGCCAACUCCGCCAUGACUAGUGGCGAAGCCCCCGUCGCAGCCCACUGAGCAUUCGGUACAAGAACACCCAAACCAGCCCAGAGAGUGUAGUUUUGAAACAUCAUGUUGUGAUAAGCAACAAGACAUCACAAAUGGUGCAGGCCAUUGGAGGAAAAAUCAAGCUUGUGUGGUUGGAUUUCCACGGCAGACCUCACUCAAAUGAUAACCGUAGCUUCCUAGUCCGUGACAUUGGCGCCGCUAUUAAGGCGCACGUGCCAAUGCUUGCACCUACAUUUUAUGAGCUCGAUGAUUAUCAAAAAGAGGCUGUUGAGAAAUACUUGGAGGUCAUAAACGUGCGCAACGAGGAAAAUCAGAACAAAAACCCGGAGCCGAUCAACCACCACUCCGUAUCAAAACCUCUUAUCAUAGGGCAGAUGAGCAUUUAAAGCAAGGACAUCUUGCCUUGUACUGUGCGGUUGUAAUGAAUGCUUACCUACCUAACAAGAACGAGAGGCAUAAAGUGGCAUAGGAAGAGCUCUAAAAUGGACCGCAAAGAGACGUGGAGGAGCACGGACCAUCAUCAACACUCAAGAAGCUGAGGAGAGCCUGAUAGCUCGAGGAGAGCGUGCAGCAGGCUAAGGAGGUAGCUGCCCAAGCUGAAGAGCAAGCUCAAAAGUCAACAGAGGAAUAUCAGGCUAUGAGGGAGGAAAAUCAAGCCAUUAGGGAAGAAAAUCAAUCAAUCAAGGAGCGCCUUCAAGUGAUGGAGGCAUUGCUGUAGAAUUUGCAAGCUGCACAGGCUCGUAGUACUUGAGGCAUUGCUGCAAUGGAGGCACUCUUUUGUACUUUAUUUUUUUGUGCUUCAAGCAACAAAUUUCUCUAGAAUGGGACUUGUGUACACUAUACAAUUGGUAGGUAGUGUUUCAAAUGUUGUUUAAGUUGAUUUAUCUUGUGCUUUUGUGGAUUGGAUUCCAA